ensembl:lncRNA
UUCAGGUGGACGAACUGGAACCAAAGACGUGAAUAAUCAGUCAUCCUGACACUGAUGUUAGUCAGGUGAGCUGAACACGGCUGGUCCGGAGCUGUUAACACGCCGCCUCGCUCACUUCCUGUCACCACCUCCGCCGUCUAAUUACUCCUCCGCCUCCCCCCCGACGGGCGGCUAAUAUCUGGAGGCCUCCCCUGCUCUCGUUAGCGGCCCAGUGACGGGAACUGACAAUGGAUAUAAUCAGGACGGCCACACGGCGCCGAGCCUCCACGCCCCGCUGAUCGCUACCUUUACCGCCAUAAAUUAUUAAUGCCGCCGUCCAGAGCAGGUGUGAUUUUAUUUGUAGUGGCAGUAAUAAGUGGAGGCGGCGGAGAUGCGGUUAGAAGUUCAUCACAGCCGAGAAACAAACAGCGGCUGUCAGCGGCCGCUAAUGAAAUGCUUGAUUUGUUUGUUUUCCCUGCCGACACACCUCACGUGUCACAUCCGGCCAAACAACCGGCUCCCCAUUAGCGGGGCUAAUUAACUCUGCAACUGUCAAGCUAGCCGCGGCUAACGAAAGUGACAGCGAGGAGCGGCGGCGCUGAAGGCUGCUAAUAACUCAGGAGGCUAACAAUGGCCGACACCGCCGGGGAGAAGAAAGGGACGCCGUCGACAUCAAACCCAGUUAUCUUCCCCACUGGAUGGGGGGAGGCAGGGGGGAGGAGGAGCAGCCAAUCUCCCUCUUUAAUGCUGGUUAUUGGCGGCGAGCAGCUUCGUUCCCUCCUCCGCCGAUGAUGAAUGGUGGCCUGGUGAGGAGGACAGAUUACUCCCCCGAGAGCCGCCAUGAUUCAUGACAUAUUUAUCUGACGGAGGAGUCGGACCCCAGAAAUAUGAGCCUGUAAUUGUCAAUCAUGGAGGAGACUGAGGGCCACUGAGGGCCGAGGAGGGGCCCCUAAUGAUUAUAUGUAGGUUUAGACCUCCCAGUCCUCACUGAGAAUGUAAUUUAUACACAGAUUCAUGAGUUAUGAGUUAAAUAAAGUCCUGACAGUCAUCAGAUCCAGAUGUCAGAGUCUCUGCCAGCUCUGAAGAAUGAAGAAGAUCUUUCUAUAGAAACCAUUAAAGAGGCUUAGAGAUGUAACGUGGGCUCACUGACAUCUUCACCUGCUGGUCUCCCCCCACAUUUAUGGAUGUUAACAUGUUCAGCAGAAUCCACAGACAGCACAAUAAAAACUGUAUUUCACUCCUUUUAUUUUAUAUUUACAGCCGUCAUGAGUGUGUUAAUGCUGCUCGUGUAUCCGGCUAAAUGACAGACAGGAUUUAAAUGACAUGUCGUCCUCAGAGAGCCAAAUAAACGGCAUUAAAUAAAAG